CUGGCCCCUAAACAAAUAUAUACUAGUUCAGUGAUAAUGAACGCCAUACUAAUUUCCAAAUUGUACACAAGAAACUAAAAUUAAAAUAAUACAAGACUAACAAAGGCCAGAGGCUCCUGACUUGGGACAGGCGUAAAAAUGCGGCGGGGUUAAACAUGUUUGUGAGAUCUCAACCCUCCCCCUAUACCUCUAGCCAAUGUAGAAAAGUAAACGCAUAACAAUACGCACAUUAAAAUUCAGUUCAAGAGAAGUCCGAGUCUGAUGUCAGAAGAUGUAACCAAAGAAAAUAAACAAAAUGACAAUAAUACAUAAAUAACAACAGACUACUAGCAGUUAACUGACAUGACAGCUCCAGACUUCAAUUAAAC
rnacentral:lncRNA from 1 species